CAGUCGCCGCGGGAAUACGUAGGGUGCAAGCGUUAAUCGGAAUUACUGGGCGUAAAGCGCGCGCAGGCGGUUUGUUAAGACAGAUGUGAAAUCCCCGGGCUCAACCUGGGAACUGCAUUUGUGACUGGCAAGCUAGAGUGUGGCAGAGGGGGGUGGAAUUCCGCGUGUAGCAGUGAAAUGCGUAGAUAUGCGGAGGAACACCGAUGGCGAAGGCAGCCCCCUGGGCCAACACUGACGCUCACGCACGAAAGCGUGGGGAGCAAACAGGAUUAGAUACCCCGGUAGUCCCUGUCUCUUAUAC
rnacentral:rRNA from 1 species